UACGUAGGGUGCGAGCGUUGUCCGGAAUUAUUGGGCGUAAAGGGCUCGUAGGCGGUUUGUCGCGUCGGGAGUGAAAACUCAGGGCUUAACCCUGAGCCUGCUUCCGAUACGGGCAGACUAGAGGUAGGUAGGGGAGAAUGGAAUUCCUGGUGUAGCGGUGAAAUGCGCAGAUAUCAGGAGGAACACCGGUGGCGAAGGCGGUUCUCUGGGCCUUACCUGACACUGAGGAGCGAAAGCGUGGGGAGCGAACAGG
rnacentral:rRNA from 1 species